ACUGAGUAUAAUACCCGAUAGAACAUUAUACCUGGAAUGGUUUAUGUUCCAAAUGAUUUAUCGCCGUAGGAUGGGACUGCGGCCUAUCAGUUUGUUGGUGAGGUAAUGGCCCAUCAAGACUAUUACAGGUACGGGCUCUGAGAGGAGUGGCCUGGAGAUGGGUACUGAAACACGGACCCAGGCCCUAUGGGGCGCAGCAGGCGAGAAAACUUUGCAAUGUGCGAAAGCACGACAAGGUUAAUCCGAGUGGUUUCUGCUAAAGGAACCUUUUGACAGUCCUUAGAAACACUGUUGAAUAAGGGGUGGGCAAGUUCUGGUGUCAGCCGCCGCGGUAAAACCAGCACCUCAAGUGGUCAGGAUGAUUAUUGGGCCUAAAGCAUCCGUAGCCGGCUCUGUAAGUUUUCGGUUAAAUCUGUACGCUUAACGUACAGGCUGCUGAGAAUACUGUAGAGCUAGGGAGUGGGAGAGGUAGACGGUACUCGGGAGGAAGUGGUAAAAUGCUUUGAUCUCUCGAUGACCACCUGUGGCGAAGGCGGUCUACCAGAACAUGUCCGACGGUGAGGGAUGAAAGCUGGGGGAGCAAACCGGAUUAGAUACCCGGGUAGUCCCAGCUGUAAACUAUGCAAACUCAGUGAUGCACUGGCUUGUGGCCAGUGCAGUGUUGCAGGGAAGCCGUUAAGUUUGCCGCCUGGGAAGUACGUACGCAAGUAUGAAACUUAAAGGAAUUGGCGGGGGAGCACCACAAGGGGGAAGCUGCGUC
rnacentral:rRNA from 1 species